AAUGUAUGAUGACAACUUGGACAUGCUGCAGAGUCCUGAGUGUGCAGUGGGAAAUGUAACAUGGGAGAGCUAGGUGUG
rnacentral:snoRNA from 1 species